rnacentral:rRNA from 1 species
UACGUAGGGGGCGAGCGUUGUCCGGAUUCAUUGGGCGUAAAGAGCUCGUAGGCGGCUUGGCAAGUCGGAUGUGAAAACUCCAGGCUCAACCUGGAGCCGCCAUUCGAUACUGCUAUGGCUAGAGUCCGGUAGGGGAGUGUGGAAUUCCCGGCGUAGCGGUGAAAUGCGCAGAUAUCGGGAGGAACACCGAUGGCGAAGGCAGCACUCUGGGCCGGCACUGACGCUGAGGAGCGAAAGCGUGGGGAGCAAACAGG